rnacentral:rRNA from 1 species
GACGAACGCUGGCGGCGUGCCUAAUACAUGCAAGUCGAGCGGACUUGACAGAGCUUGCUCUGUUCAAGUUAGCGGCGGACGGGUGAGUAACACGUGGGCAACCUGCCCUGCAGAUUGGGAUAACUCCGGGAAACCGGGGCUAAUACCGAAUAACAUUGAAAACCUCAUGGUUUUCUUUUAAAAGGCGGCUUCGGCUGUCACUGCAGGAUGGGCCCGCGGCGCAUUAGCUAGUUGGUGAGGUAACGGCUCACCAAGGCGACGAGGCGUAGCCGAACUGGAAGGGGGAUCGGCCACGCUGGGACUGAGACACGGCCCAGACUCCUACGGUAGGCAGCAGUAGGGAAUCUUCCGCAAUGGACGAAAGUCUGACGGAGCAACGCCGCGUGAGUGAAGAAGGUUUUCGGAUCGUAAAACUCUGUUGUUAGGGAAGAACAAGUACCGGAGUAACUGCCGGUACCUUGACGGUACCUGACCAGAAAGCCACGGCUAACUACGUGCCAGCAGCCGCGGUAAGAC